rnacentral:tRNA from 1 species
GAAUCUGUGGCGCAAUGGUAGCGCGACUGACUCUGGAUCAGAAUGAGAGCAAUGGUUUAUUCAGAUUGG